AUCCACCUGACGAGUCCCAAAAUAGGACGAAAUGCGCGUCCUGGAU
rfam:Schistosoma mattheei strain Denwood, Zambia genome assembly, scaffold: SMTD_contig0009653